rnacentral:rRNA from 1 species
AAUGAACGUUGGCGGCGUGGAUUAGGCAUGCAAGUCGAGCGAGAACCCCGCAAGGGGGGACAGCGGCGCAAGGGACAGUAAUGUGUAGAUCAUCUGCCCUCAGGUCCGGGAUAGCUGCGGGAAACUGCAGGUAAUACCGGAUAACAUCUCCGGAUCACAGGUGUGAUUCCGCCUGAGGAUGAGCCUGCAUCCUAUUAGCUAGUUGGCAGGGUAACGGCCUACCAAGGCAUUGAUGGGUAGCGGGUGUGAGAGCACGACCCGCGUCAUUGGGACUGAGACACUGCCCAGACACCUACGGGUGGCUGCAGUCGAGAAUCUUCGGCAAUGGGCGCAAGCCUGACCGAGCGACGCCGCGUGUGGGAUGAAGGCCUUCGGGUUGUAAACCACUGUCAGAGGGGAUGAAAUGCAGGUGGGUUCUCCCAUCUGUUUGACAUAGCCUCAGAGGAAGGACGGGCUAAGUUCGUGCCAGCCGCCGCCGUAA